rnacentral:snRNA from 1 species
AUGCUCACUUUGGCAGCACAUAUACUAAACAUGGAAUGAUACAGAGAAGAUUAGCAUAGCUCCUGUGCAAGGAUGACACACAAAUUCAUGAAGCACUCCAUAUUUUU